GAUGAACGCUGACAGAAUGCUUAACACAUGCAAGCCAACUUGAACUUCGGUUUGGGUGGCGGACGGGUGAGUAACGCGUAAAGAACUUGCCUCACAGUUAGGGACAACAUUUGGAAACGAAUGCUAGUACCUGAUAUUAUGAUUUUAGGGCAUCCUAGGAUUAUGAAAGCUAUAUGCGCUGUGAGAGAGCUUUGCGUCCCAUUAGCUAGUUGGAGAGGUAACGGCUCACCAAGGCGAUGAUGGGUAGCCGGCCUGAGAGGGUGAACGGCCACAAGGGGACUGAGACACGGCCCUUACUCCUACGGGAGGCAGCAGUGGGGAAUAUUGGACAAUGGACCAAGAGUCUGAUCCAGCAAUUCUGUGUGCACGAUGAAGUUUUUCGGAAUGUAAAGUGCUUUCAGUUGGGAAGAAAAAAAUGACGAUACCAACAGAAGAAGUGACGGCUAAAUACGUG
rnacentral:rRNA from 1 species